rnacentral:lncRNA from 1 species
UCUUGACAUUUGGGGAAUAAGUAACAUGAUGUAUUUUUUUAGACUGAGUUUGCAACCGAUCAUAAAACACCCAAUUAAUAGAGGCUUAUGUCAUAAAGCAUUUGUUUACAUAAGGAGUCCAGAGUUAGGCAUUUUCAACACCUUAAACUUUGGAUAUACUUCCAUUCCACCACUUUCAAUAUGUUGUCAUUUGUCUAUGACUUCAUAUUGCCCCACAGCAGCAAAAUAAAUUCCUUUUUAUAUAACUUUCUCAGUGAGGAAAAUAUACUUGCCCUUUGGUAUUUUGGGGUGAUUGGUUCAGGAACCCCUGAAGACACUAAAUUCCCUUGAAUGCUCAAGUACCUUAUAUAAAAUGGUACUGUAUUUGCAUAUAACCAACACAGCUCUCCUAUACACUUUAAAUCAUUUCUAAACUACUUCUAACUCAUAAUAAAUUGUAAAGGCUAUGCAAAUAGUUGUUA